rnacentral:piRNA from 1 species
UUUCUAUCAAAAGUGCAUAUA